GGACUUUUUACUUGGGCAGACAAUGAUAGGACAAGGGGAAUGGUUUUAAACUAAAAAGGGUAGAUUUAGGUUAGAUGUUAUAAGGAAAUUGUUUACUCAGAGAGUGUUGAGGCAACUGCCCAAACAAUUUGUGUACUCCCCAUUCCUUGUUGUUAAAGACCGGGUUGGAUGAGGCCCUUGGCAACCUGAUCUAGUGGGUGGCAUCCCCUCCCAUGGCAGUGGGUUGGAACUGGGUGAUCUUUAAGGUUCCUUCCAACCCAAAUGGUUUUCUUAUUCUUGCUUUUAUGAAAAGAGAUUAA